GGCUGAGCGCCGACAAGAGAUUAGUCUGAAUUGAAACAACUGCGGAUGCUGUAAAUUAAGAACAAAAACAGAAGUUGCUGGAAAAGCUCAGCAGGAUUCAUGUAUGGGAUGGACUUCCGGAGGAAGUACUGGGUGCGGGUACAGUUACAGCAUUUAAAAGGCAAUUGGGUCUGUGUCUCGUCGUUGCAUCAAGUCCGUGAGUGUCUCCGAAAAUGAACAUAACAUUUGGUGCCGUGACCAGGAUUGCAACAUGUACAGCAGUCUCAUGUGGAGUGCUGAAUAAGGGAUCGAUCGAGUGUCAGUGGAGUGAGACAGACAGGCUCGCAAGCUUCUGGCAACAAAUGGCCACAAAUCGAUCAAAGGUGAAAGUGACGGUGAACCAGACAGAACAGUCAGUGGCUGCAUAAAGCAGGAUGGCGUGGAUAUUGCAC